rnacentral:rRNA from 1 species
CCACCACCAAAGCAUUUGCUGUACCGCGUUGACGGAGCGAAGCGACGUCAAACCGAUAAAACAGCAGUGUAAAGUGAGCCGCAGGGCGCUUUGCGCGACAGCGCAAAGGCAGGCGGUUUCGCGUAGCGAAAGCGAAUGCUUUGGGGUGGGGUGACUGCGUACCUUUUGUAUAAUGGGUCAGCGACUUAUAUUCUGUAGCAAGGUUAACCGAAUAGGGGAGCCGGAGGGAAACCGAGUCUUAAUUGGGCGUUAAGUUGCAGGGUAUAGACCCGAAACCCGGUGAUCUAGCCAUGGGCAGGUUGAAGGUUGGGUAACACUAACUGGAGGACCGAACCGACUAAUGUUGAAAAAUUAGCGGAUGACCUGUGGCUGGGGGUGAAAGGCCAAUCAAACCGGGAGAUAGCUGGUUCUCCCCGAAAGCUAUUUAGGUAGCGCCUCGUGAAUUCAUCUCCGGGGGUAGAGCACUGUUUCGGCUAGGGGGCCAUCCCGGCUUACCAACCCGAUGCAAACUGCGAAUACCGGAGAAUGUUAUCACGGGAGACACACGGCGGGUGCUAACGUCCGUCGUGAAGAGGGAAACAACCCAGACCGCCAGCUAAGGUCCCAAAGUCAUGGUUAAGUGGGAAACGAUGUGGGAAGGCCCAGACAGCCAGGAUGUUGGCUUAGAAGCAGCCAUCAUUUAAAGAAAGCGUAAUAGCUCACUGGUCGAGUCGGCCUGCGCGGAAGAUGUAACGGGGCUAAACCAUGCACCGAAGCUGCGGCAGCGACAC